CCUACGGGAGGCAGCAGUGGGGAAUAUUGGACAAUGGGGGAAACCCUGAUCCAGCAAUGCCGCGUGAGUGAUGAAGGCCUUAGGGUCGUAAAGCUCUUUUACCAGGGAUGAUAAUGACAGUACCUGGAGAAUAAGCUCCGGCUAACUCCGUGCCAGCAGCCGCGGUAAUACGGAGGGAGCUAGCGUUGUUCGGAAUUACUGGGCGUAAAGCGUGCGUAGGCGGUUAUUCAAGUCAGAGGUGAAAGCCCGGGGCUCAACCCCGGAACGGCCUUUGAAACUAGAUAACUAGAAUCUUGGAGAGGUCAGUGGAAUUCCGAGUGUAGAGGUGAAAUUCGUAGAUAUUCGGAAGAACACCAGUGGCGAAGGCGACUGACUGGACAAGUAUUGACGCUGAGGUACGAAAGCGUGGGGAGCAAACAGGAUUAGAUACCCUGGUAGUCCACGCCGUAAACGAUGAUAACUAGCUGUCCGGACACUUGGUGUUUGGGUGGCGCAGCUACGACAUUAAGUUAUCCGUCCGUCGGGUAGGUACGGUCGCGAAGAAUUAAACUAACAAAUAGUAAGUUAGUACGGACGUGAGACGUGCCGAACGGACGACGACGAGGGAGUAGG
rnacentral:rRNA from 1 species